UUGGGUUGUAAACCUCUUUUCUCAGGGAAGAAGCUCUGACGGUACCUGAGGAAUCAGCCUCGGCUAACUCCGUGCCAGCAGCCGCGGUAAUACGGAGGAGGCAAGCGUUAUCCGGAAUUAUUGGGCGUAAAGCGUCCGCAGGUGGCAAUUCAAGUCUGCUGUCAAAGCACGGGGCUUAACUCCGUUAAGGCAGUGGAAACUGAAUAGCUAGAGUGCCGUAGGGGUAGAGGGAAUUCCCGGUGUAGCGGUGAAAUGCGUAGAGAUCGGGAAGAACAUCGGUGGCGAAAGCGCUCUACUGGACGGCAACUGACACUCAGGGACGAAAGCUAGGGGAGCGAAUGGGAUUAGAUACCCCAGUAGUCCUAGCUGUAAACGAUGGAUACUAGGUGUAGCUUGUAUCGACCCGAGCUGUGCCGAAGCUAACGCGUUUAAGUAUCCCGCCUGGGGAGUACGCACGCAAGUGUGAAACUCAAAAGGAAUUGACGG
rnacentral:rRNA from 1 species